AAAUAGUAAUGAAAAGUGAAAAUGGAGAUGUACUUUCUUUUCCUUCUAUUAAUGCCACUAGAAAACAAUUUAGAGUAAGAUUUACUACUAUUUCUUUAAAUGUAGAUCAGAAUAAACCAAUUUUAAUUAAAGGUGUAAAAUGGUUUGUAUAUUCUGAAAAUGUAUAAUUUUAAUUUUAUCAAAAAAAUAUCUUAAAAGGGCAAAAGAAUAAUAUAAUAAUAAAAAUAUUCAGUAUAUAAUAAAUAAUUAUAAAAAAAGUAAAUACUGAAUAGAAAAUCCUUAUUGUUUUUGCAAAUAUUUAAUAUUUAUAUAAAAUUAAAUUAUAGAUUUUAUUAAACAACUAUUUAACUGUAUCUCGAUAUUAUAAAAUGUAUGGUAAUCGAACAAUGUUUACUAUAAAUAGUUGGAAUAUUAAGUACAAAUAUUUAAUAUUUAUAUAUAAUAGGUAUCAAUUAUAUUAAACAUAUAUUUUAAAAUAGUAAAUUGAACAAUUUUUACGAUUAAAUAGUAUGGAAUAUUAAAUAACUAUAUUAUUAUUUAUUAAAAUAUAGUCUAAGUAUUAAAUUAUAAUCCUGCUCAAAUACUAAUAUUAGUAUUAAGUUUUAAUAUUCUUACCCUUAAUUUAUUUUAUUUAUGCAAAUAUAAAUAACCCUACAUGAGCACCUGCCUGUGUUUUAUAAAUUAGGGGUAUAGAAAUAAUAGAGCGCAAGGAAAAAAUAUUAAAAAAAAUAAUUAUAAAGAAUAAUUCAAACUUAACACCAUUAAUUGGAAAUGAAAUUUAUUCACUAUCCGAAAAUUCAAAUUCUGAUAAUAAAAUAUUAUUUUCGUAUAAAAAUAUCUUUAAUAGAAGUAUCUUAUGGGUAAAAUUAUAUGAUAAUUAUUUAUAUUUAUUUAUAAAUAAAAAUACAAAUAAUAAAUUCAGUAUAUUAGAACCUAAAACAAAAGUAAAUCAAACUCUAGUUAGUUUACCAGCUUCAAAAAUUAGUAGAAAUACUAUAAAAAUAAUUAAUACAAAUAAUCAAGAAGUAAAAAAAGAAGAAAUAUAUAAAAAUAUAUAUAAAUAUAUAAAAACUAUUUCUAAAUAUAAUUGUUGCGGGGACCUCGAAAAUCUUACCAAUGGAAGCGAAUCUCGGAAGUACAUAAAUUGAUGGUAGAUAUUCAGACUGCUCAUGCUAAGUUGGGUAGUCAAGACGGAAACAGCCGAGAACACGAAAUCAAGGUCCCAAAUGAUUAUUAAGUGAAAUUAAGGAAGUAACAAAUUGAAUGCAGCUGUAAAGUGAGCCUGGUAGUCGCUAUCUUUUAAUGACCGUUGUAACAACGUAGCAGCCCUUCAAAAUACUAUUUAUAUAAUAAAUGGAAUGAUGAAUAAGAUUGUAGCGCCGAAAAUUUAACGGGUCUAAAUAAUCAACCGAUAUCGUGUUGAUUAAGAAUUUAUUAAUAUUUAUUCUUAAUCUAGGUAGUAGAACAUUCAGUAAUACUGAUGAAAGAACAGUGUUUCAUUGUUUUAAGGUAACUGAAGAGAUAAUGCUGACAUGAGUAACGUAAAAAGAAGUUAUAAUACUUCUCGCCGAAUACGAAAGGGUUAUGAGAAAAGGUUGAACCGUCUCAUGUUAUUGCGGCCUCUAAGGUCCAAAACCAAAGUUUUGGCUGAUGAGUAAUUUACUGAAAGUCCUAAUCAAUAUUUAUUUAAUAUUUUUAUUAUUUAAAUAAAUCUAGCCUGCGGUGCCUAAGUCCUCCGAAUAUUGGAGGGUAGAAAGUUAGCAGGCAGAGAGAGGACCAGGAAAAUAAUGUAUUACUUAUUAUUAAAUAAUAUUAAAGUAUAAUAUAAAAUUAAUAUAAGUUUAACUACCGUACCCUAAACCGACACAGGUUCGUAAGUAGAGAAUACUAAGGCGAAGAGCUAAAAGUUGUUAAGGAACUCGGCAAGUUCUCCUCAUAAGUUUGACGAUAAGAGGAACCACUAAAAUAUGGUGGUGUCACAAAAUCGGAGGCCCCGACUGUUUACUAAAAACACAAUUCAGAGCAAUGAUGAAAAUCAUAGUAUUCUGGAUGAAAUUUGCCCGAUGCCAUUAACAUAAUAGAGGUAAUGGGAAACUGUUACUAAUUGAAAGUCUGGUUAAUAGCGGUCUUAACUAUGAGGAUCCUAAGGUAGCAAAAUCAGUUGGCCAUUAAAUGUGGUCUGGUAUCAAUAGUGUAACGAUGGUCUCACUGUCUCUACAACUUGCUCAGUGAAAUUGAAUUAUCCGUGCAGAUGCGGAUUGCCUCCAGGUGGACGGGAAGACCCUAUGCAGCUUUACUGUAGUUAGUUAUCACAUUGAUCUACAACAACCUUUAGUUAAUAGAAAAUAGGACUGUCUAUAGAAAACCGUAAUAGGUUUGGAAGCCUUAAAACUGGGUUGGGUCUAUGUUUACCUUAUAAUUUAUAAUUAAAGGGAUAGUUGACUAAUUGGCAGUUUGACUGGGGCGGUCGUCUUUAAUAAAGUAGCAAAGUACAUCCAAAUAUUUAUAUUUUUAUUUCAAUAAUAAAUAUUAUUAAUUCUAAUUUAAAGAAUAUAAUAAUAUCCAGACAAAAAAUUAUUUUUUAAACAAAUUUUUAAAAUAUAUGAUAAUACAAAAAAUUUCAAAAAGGUAUAGCUAGAAAUUGAAUGGAGAUCAAUUAACCAGUGAACGGUUAUGCAGAGUGUAAAGGCGGAAAGCAUGCCUAACUGAAAGACCUAGAAGUCGCACAGAUACGUAAGUAGGGCUUAGUGACCCCUCGCUAUAUUAUGGAAUAGACGGGGAUCAAUCGAUAAAAGUUACGCUAGGGAUAACAGGCUGAUAGCCGGCGAGAGUACACAUUGUCCCGGCUGUUUGGCACCUCGAUGUCGACUCAUCCUAUCCUCCCGGGGAAGAAGCUGGGAAGGGUUCGGCUGUUCGCCGAUUAAAAGGGUACGCGAGUUGGGUUUAAUACGACGUGAGUCAGUAUGGUUCCUAUCUUCUGGAGGGACAAAUAGUAAAAGGAGGCAGACCUUCUAGUACGAAAGGAUCAAUAGGCUGUGUUUCUCUAGUGUACCAAUUGUUGAAGUUUUUUAUUAUUUAAGUUUUAUUUUUUAGAUAAAAAUCAGUAAGCAUAGUUGGGUAGCCACAAACAUAAUAGAUAAGCGCUGAAUGUAUAUAAAGCAAGAAUCUAACCUCUGGAUACUAUCAAUAGUUUGCCUUGCGCUCUUUUGUUUAUAAGAAAUAGAUCAUUUCUAAAUAGGAUGCAAAUGAAUAUACUGUGAAGUAUUUAGUUUAGCAUUACUAAUUUAU
rnacentral:rRNA from 1 species